rnacentral:lncRNA from 1 species
CCAAAUGGUGAGAAAAGCUUUAAAAAUCAUCGAUCUAAACAGGAGAAGUCAAGAGUCAGGCUUGAAUAGCCAUGGCUAGCCGGAGCGAGGUCAAAGAUGAUAAGAGACAAGCAACGAAAUAAAAUCAACCAAGGUCUGGACUAGACUUUUCAAGCAUCUCACCUUGAAAUCAUGAUAAUCGGGCAUGUAGAAGCCAUUAGAGGUAGAUACAUGCCUCUAAUGGCUUUGGAAGCUAUUGAUUUGGGCGAAUUUAGGAUGGUAGUUGAGGGCGGAAGCUAGAGUUUGAGAGAGGAUUGAGAGAGAAUUGGGAGAAGGGGUGAUUCACAGGUGGCUGCAGA